rnacentral:rRNA from 1 species
AUGUCUCCCGUUGCAAGGCUUGGGAACGCCCAGAUUAACACAGUUUCAGACAUUAUUGAUGCUGAUAAUUGGACUUGGAAAUCUGAAGUGAUCAGGGAAACUUUCAUACCACCCGAUGCAGAUGCAAUUCUUAAUACCCCCUUGAGAAGGGGAGGGGGUGAUGAUUACAUGGCUUGGGCUCUAGAAAGGAACGGGAUUUAUACUGUAAAGUUAGCAUAUCGAUCUCUAAUGAUUCAGAACGAGCAGUAUGCUCUAGAAGAAGGGACCAUCAUGGAAACUUCAGAGACAGAAAAACAGUCAUGGUCUCGGCUUUGGAAGCUGAAAGUCCUGCCCAGAGUACGCGUAUUUUGGUGGCGAGUAAUGCGAGGAAUCCUUCCAGUGGAGAGUACACUAACGUAUCGUCAUAUCUCAACGACUAGCAAGUGCAAAAUCUGCCUUAGUGAGGAGGAGGGUAUGAUGCAUGCCCUGUUAAACUGCAACCAUGCCAGGAGGUUCUGGACUGCAGCACCGGAUUUGUUGGGUGUUAAACGUCCGGAUUUACACCCACAUACUUGGAGAAAGGACAUUUUGUGUGACCCUAGAUUUUCAGAGGCUGAUAAGGCAAGAUUGGUAUCUAUUAUGUGGUCCAUUUGGACCUCCAGGAAUAAUCUUACUCAUGACAGGGGUACUCUUGACCCGGUUCAGUCCAUGAAGAUCAUUAGGGAGUCUUUGGCAGUGCUGGAAUUGCCAAGGGAGCAUGCCCGAACACUUCCAGGGCAUGGCUAA